rnacentral:lncRNA from 1 species
CCUCGAGGUAACUGAGAUCCAUUUAAGAGGUUGACCUCUCCCAACAAAUGCUUCUCCAUACGCACCGGCCCGGAUCGAAUCCAUGACCAAAUUGUUAAGGGAUACUUGUGCCACUGCCACACUAUGGUGGUACUAAAAACUUCAUUUUGUUAUGCAAACCUUAUAGGUUUGCAAAUAAUAAACUAGUCAAUUAUAUCAAUUAAUCUAUAUUGUUUAUUCUUUUAAUCCUAUUUUUUUACCUCAUGAGGUUUUUCUUUGCACUGUUAAUUUAUCUAUAUAGCCCCACUUAUUCAUUCACAAAAGUCCUAACUUGAAAUCUUUUCCACAAAAAACAUCAUCAUAAGAUAAAAUAUAACCCACAAAUAAAUAACACGAAAAAUAGAAACUUAACCAUAAACCCAUCAUAAGAUUUGAAAUCAUGGAUCUAAAGAAACAACUGUAUGAAUUAAAAAUUAAAAAUUUAAAAUCUACAAAUGAAGAGAUCUAAUCUAAACACAAAAUCAGUGAAAAGGGGUUUCAAUUGAAUGAAAAUGAAACAGGAAAAAAUACAAAAAGGGAAAUGAAAAUGGUGAAAAUGUAAAUGGGUCAGAGACACAAACCUGGUUUCAGAGCAGAGCAGAGAAAGUGUGUGGGACAAACAAGAUUCGAUAUAAGCUUUUACGAGGUAAAAAGAACAGGGACACUAUUGUUAUAUUGUUGUUGCUGCGAAGCUCACUUUGGUUAUGAUUUUGUGAUGUGCA